UGAGUUUUGACAUGAGUUUCUUAACCUCAACAGUGUUUAUGUUUUUAUUAAUAUACGCGGCCUAAUUUAUUUCAAUCUCGUUUUUCUUUAAUUUGUUAUUUAUAAAUACCUAGUUCUCACAAAACAUGUUCUGCAAAGCCGUAUUUUUACAACUGUAACCGAAAAGUGAAUUCGUGGUAAAAAUGCUCGUACAGCAAACAUUCCUCAACGCCAUGUAGGCCACCGAACGGGUCCCUUGAAAUGCAGAGUUCCUUCAACGCCCACUUUUCUGUCAACUAUUCAGAAACAACACUCCUGCUGUGAAAGCGGGUCACAUGCUCAACAUCUACCUCUUGGACUGUUGCAGGAGUGUUUACUCCAGAAAAGCACUCCGAAUUUAGUGCACUGUCUUCUCUACGGUUGCCAGUGAUGAAGCUUCUAAUUAUGUAUAGCUGUAAAUUAAUUUAUAAUGAUGCUGGAUACUGUCCUGGAGCUCAAUUUUACUCAUGAAUUGGAGGAGAAACAUACAUAAUAAUGGAGCACAGAGUUCUAAGUUUGGAAGCAUGUUUGGUCGCAUUUCCAGAUUUGAAUAUCUGAUAAGCAAUCGACUAUCACCUAGCACCGUCUCAUCGAGCAUGUAUGCGAUCUGCUCCAUUUACACCUCGGAGGUGAUUAUACGCUUCUAACUUCUGCAAUGGCUUCCUGUGCUAUCUCGUAUUCGCCAAUGUGAAGCAGGAAUUGCUGGUGAAGAUAGUGGAGACGAUGCUGUGAAGGUGGUGCUGGAGUUGGCGAACCUGGCCUCGUCGACGAUUUUGCAGUUGAUUUAAUGAGGGACUGAUUUUCGCUAAAAAUGGGAGAUAUUAUGCUGCAUCCAGGAUAAGGGAAAGUAUGCUGCAGUGUAAAAAUGUUAUUUGGUGGGAGCUUUGCAUAAAACGCAUAAAAUAAAAAAAAAACAUUCGUUUUUUAGGGUGAUUUUUGUUUUCAAUUCCACGGAAAAUAUUUUUUAAUGUCUGCAAAAAACUAAAAUUAUCUCGAGAAGUUAUUCCAAAUUUUCACUGAAAUUCACUAGGAAUUUUACCGGAAAUCUUUUAAAAAGUAAAAGGAAGAAUAUUUUUGGAUUUUAUCGGAUGAUUGAUUAUUAAUCGAGAAAUUAUACGAAAUUUCUUCGGAAUUACCUACGAAAGUAUAAGGGGAAGGCCUUUUGAAAAUGUGAACAUUUGGUUUACGUGGUCCCGUUGGAAUCCCGAAAGUGUUCUCAAAAGAAUUCAGGAAUCCCGCAGGUUUCGCCGUCGGAAUCCCGAAGGGUUUGCUGUUGAAUCUCGAAGGGUUUGCCGUCGGAAUCCCGACAGAAUUCCCAUCGGAAUCCCGAAAGUAUUCCCGUCCGAAUCCGAAAUACGAGACACUGAAGACGGCCGUCUUGUUGAGGUCAAAAAACGUAUCUGUCAAACGUACAAUCAAUCGUACAAUAAAUCUCUGCACGAGGUGGCCUUAUCGGGAUGCAAAUUACUGGCAUAUAAACUUAUUUAAUAAAUUUUCUUUCUGUAUUUUCGUUAAUACUUUUUUCACAACUCACAACAACAAUUUAAAUUCCUUCUAUUAAGGAAAUAGGUUUGCCAUUUUUUUUUCAGUAUAAUAUCAAACCAAAAUAUUUGAUAAGUUUUUCUGUUUUCAGUUUGUUAAUAUAUGGAGGAGGACCAACGCGCACUGGGAGUUUUCGAAAGGAAAAUGCUGCGUACCAUCUAUGGUGGGGUGAAAAUACAACGCCUGUUGUAGAUAGCAUUUUAACUGUUUCAAAUUUCAUUUCCUAUACAUACUCCCAUACAUUUUAUAACUCAACUAAAGAUGCCCUAACAUUACUAAAGAUGCCGUUACUAAAGAAGCCCUAAAGAAAUAGGUCUAUUCAAUUUUAAAAACGAAUUCAGAUUGCUUCCUAAGUAUAUUUUAAAACGAAAGAUUUUAUACAUACGUAGUUCCCUGUAGUUCCACUGGCCAAGUGGUGAAAUGAUGGUCGCCUGAGAGUUUAGCCGGUUGCGGUAAGAUCUGUCGCAUGGCGUGUGUUUGGGGGAAUCUUAAUAGAGCUUGAUUGCGUCUAUUCUCCUAGUUCGAACAUCGCAUGCGUAGCACACAGUGCCUAAAUACGGAAAAAGUCUGAUGGUGUUAUUUUCUAAAGUAACUAUUUUCAAUGCAUUAUAUACAGAGACAUAAACUAGAGUUUAACGCUAACACAGAAAGACAAAUUAUAAACUGAGAAUCAGAAUCGUUCAAUAACAGACAAAA